rnacentral:rRNA from 1 species
AUUGAACGCUGGCGGCAGGCUUAACACAUGCAAGUCGAGCGGGGUGAUGGUGCUUGCACUAUCACUUAGCGGCGGACGGGUGAGUAAUGCUUAGGAAUCUGCCUAUUAGUGGGGGACAACAUCUCGAAAGGGAUGCUAAUACCGCAUACGUCCUACGGGAGAAAGCAGGGGAUCACUUGUGACCUUGCGCUAAUAGAUGAGCAUAAGUCGGAUUAGCUAGUUGGUGGGGUAAAGGCCUACCAAGGCGACGAUCUGUAGCGGGUCUGAGAGGAUGAUCCGCCACACUGGGACUGAGACACGGUCCAGACUCCUACGGGAGGCAGCAGUGGGGAAUAUUGGACAAUGGGGGGAACCCUGAUCCAGCCAUGCCGCGUGUGUGAAGAAGGCCUUAUGGUUGUAAAGCACUUUAAGCGAGGAGGAGGCUCUUUUGGUUAAUACCCAAGAUGAGUGGACGUUACUCGCAGAAUAAGCACCGGCUAACUCUGUGCCAGCCGCCGCGGUAA